GAUUUCUGGUUUGAUGUACCUGUCCCGCUGCGGUAACGCAUGUGAGUGACGGAGUAUGUCUGCCAUCCUUCUAGAGAGCCUAAGCUAUCCUUUACUGGACCGGUUUAGGUCAUCUAGAUCUUUUACUUUGAAAAAAUUAGAGUGUUUCAAGCAGGCGUUUUGCUAUGAAUACAUUAGCAUGGAAUAAUGAGUUAGGACUUCGGUUCUAUUUUGUUGGUUUCUAGGACUGAAGUAAUGAUUGAUAGGGAUAGUUGGGGGUGCUAGUAUUCAGCGGCCAGAGGUGAAAUUCUUGGAUUCGCUGAAGACUAACUUAUGCGAAAGCAUU
rnacentral:rRNA from 1 species